rnacentral:rRNA from 1 species
CAGCAGCCGCGGGAAAACGUAGGGUGCAAGCGUUAAUCGGAAUUACUGGGCGUAAAGCGUGCGCAGGCGGUUAUAUAAGACAGAUGUGAAAUCCCCGGGCUCAACCUGGGAACUGCAUUUGUGACUGUAUAGCUAGAGUACGGCAGAGGGGGAUGGAAUUCCGCGUGUAGCAGUGAAAUGCGUAGAUAUGCGGAGGAACACCGAUGGCGAAGGCAAUCCCCUGGGCCUGUACUGACGCUCAUGCACGAAAGCGUGGGGAGCAAACAGGAUUAGAUACCCGGGUAGUCCCUGUCUCUUAUAC